UAGAAACUUCUGCUGUGGAUGGCUGUUCCU
rnacentral:piRNA from 1 species